AAAUGACAGAUACCAAUUUCCCCUUUGUGUAUCUUCUCCAGAUACUGAAUCAGAAGUUAAUGCUUGUGCGCCUUGUUCUCUGGUGUGCAAGUUUGGCUCUUCUGUUACAUUU
rnacentral:snoRNA from 1 species